CGGACGGGUGAGUAAUGUCUGGGAAACUGCCUGAUGGAGGGGGAUAACCACUGGAAACGGUAGCUAAUACCGCAUAACGUCGCAAGACCAAAGAGGGGGACCUUCGGGCCUCUUGCCAUCGGAUGUGCCCAGAUGGGAUUAGCUAGUAGGUGGGGUAAAGGCUCACCUAGGCGACGAUCCCUAGCUGGUCUGAGAGGAUGACCAGCCACACUGGAACUGAGACACGGUCCAG
rnacentral:rRNA from 1 species